AAAACCGCGAGGUGGAGCAAAUCCCUAAAAGCCAUCCCAGUUCGGAUUGCAGGCUGAAACCCGCCUGUAUGAAGUUGGAAUCGCUAGUAAUCGCGGAUCAGCAUGCCGCGGUGAAUACGUUCCCGGGCCUUGUACACACCGCCCGUCACACCAUGAGAGUCGGGAACACCCGAAGUCCGUAGCCUAACCGCAAGGGGGGCGCGGCCGAAGGUGGGUUCGAUAAUUGGGGUGAAGUCGUAACAAGGUAGC
rnacentral:rRNA from 1 species